GGAAGGGAAAAGUAGAGAAAAGAUCAAUCUGACAUGGAACCUAUAAAGAUCAUUCAAUGGUGGGCGCCAACAUCCCCCUGGGAUCUCUUGUUGUAUUUUGAGGAUGUUGUCUAUUGCAUAAUUCUAUCUAUUUCUGGUUGACUCACCAGAGGUGUGGAGAAUCUCUCAUCCCUGUAUGAUGUAGAAAGAUGGUUGACUCACCAGAGGUGUGGAGAAUCUCCCAUUCCUGUGUGAUAUAGAAAGAUGGUUGACUCACCAGAGGUGUGGAGAAUCUCCCGUCCCUGUGUGAUAUAGAAAGAUGGUUGACUCACCAGAGUUGUGGAGAAUCUCCCAUCCCUGUGUGAUGUAGAAAGAUGGUUGACUCACCAGAGGUGUGGAGAAUCUCCCGUCCCUGUGUGAUAUAGAAAGAUGGUUGACUCACCAGAGUUGUGGAGAAUCUCCCAUCCCUGUGUGAUGUAGAAAGAUGGUUGACUCACCAGAGUUGUGGAGAAUCUCCCAUCCCUUUGUGAUGUAGAAAGGUGGUUGACUCACGAGAGUUGUGGAGAAUCUCCCAUCCCUGUGUGAUGUAGAAAGAUGGUUGACUCACCAGAGGUGUGGAGAAUCUCUCAUCCCUGUGUGAUGUAGAAAGAUGGUUGACUCACCAGAGGUGUGGAGAAUCACCCACCCCUGUGUGAUGUAGAAAGAUGGUUGACUCACCAGAGUUGUGGAGAAUCUGCCAUCCCUAUAUGAUUCAUUGUGUGAACAAGUGAUGAUACUAUUUGAUUAUGAUAUGGUUUUGCAUAAUAAACAAAUGAUGACAUUCUACUGCGCGAAUGAAUAUGGAAAGACAAAGUUACAAUUCCCCAUCCAUAAACAUGACACGAUAUGUCUAGCUGUGAGAAGUAUCGAUACUGUUCAACAAUACUGAUCGCCAUACAUUAAUGUUCUGGGUGGAAUUGAUCCAAAAGUAUUAUCAGGUAAUACAAGAUAUCGUUGACAUUAUGAUUUAAAAAUAGAGAGUGAAUGAGAUAUUUUAGAUUAUUUUGUUGAAAUUGUACAUGCUACUGACUUUUUGUCUUUGCGGAUUAAACUUCUCUUCAAAAUAAUGCAGAUGUCACCAGAUUGGAUUCUGUUUCACCACGUGACCAGUAUACUGUCUUGUUUCACCAAAUAACUCUACUGUGAUUGGAUUAUGUUUAUUAGCAUGAUAGUGAUAAUGGCAACGUGAUUGGAUUUUGUUAAAUCAAGUGACCAGUGAACUGUUUCCUAAUUGUAUUUUGUUAAAACAACAAGUGUUUCUUAUCGCUUUUUCUUGAAAGCUACAGGAAGGAUAUUUUUCAAACUUCAUGUGUCCAUCGUGGUCCAUAGUUGUGCCCAUUUGAUUUUGAUUCAGGUCCAAUACCAAAAUGGCCACCAUGUGGCCAUGUUGAUUUUGACAAUUGUUUGUCGUCAUGUUGUAAGUACUUCACGCAUAUUUCUCAAAUUUGCUAUGUAGGUUUUACUUAUGUCCAUAUAAUUUGCAAUCUGGUCGGGAAAACAGCAUGGCCAUUUAGUGGCUAUCUUUGAUCCCUCAUGAAACAUUCGUUUGUGAUAACCAUAAUUCUCAACUAGAGUUUACCUUAACACAUACACUCAUUUAUGUUGUAAUAAUUACUGUAUUGUAAAUAAUUGUGAGAAUACAUUCAUUGCUUAUGAAUCAUAAUGAAUGUUCAUGUUCCAAGAAUGAAUUCGUCUCAAAAUUCAUUUUUCUUGGGAAUCUUUGAAAUAGGUCAAGGUCACUGGGUCAGAGGCAAAGGUCACAUUUUGUACUUUUUAUGGAUGAACAUUUUGUGAUUACCAUAAUUCUCAACUGGAGAAUGCAGACAUUUUGUAUAUAGAUAUUUACCUGAAUACACAUACACUCAUUUAUGUUGUAAUACUCACUGUAAUGUAAAUAUUUGUCAGAAUACAUUCAUUUCUUGUGAAUCAUGAUGAAUGUUUAUGUUCCAAGAAUGAAUUUGUCACAAAAUUAUUUUUCUUGUGAGUCUUUAAAACAUGUCUUUUUUUGUAAUUAGAUGAUUAGUUUGAAUAUGUGUACACUGUAUUUAUAAGGUUGAUGCUUCUGUCUAUCAGGGGAGAUAAUUAGUGUAAAUUCAUAUUUGAAUACUCUGUAUUGAUCCUAUUUUACAUACAAUGUAUUAAGAAUUUAUAUUUGAUAAUCCAUUAAAUAUGUAAUAUAUAUCAGCUAGAUACUAAUAAUGAGAAAUACGAGAGGAUCAGUGAUCUUUGAUUUAAGUUCAAGUGGAAGCUUUACUUUUAGACAUUAAGAUAUUAAGGAAGUUUAUUAAAUGUGCAUAAACAUGUUUCGAUGGGAACAUUUAUGCUUACACAGCAUUUGGAAUUUCAAAAGCACAUUUAAUAUUUUCUGAUUGAUUUGAUAAGUUUGAGCUCAAGUGAGCUUAUGCCAUACCGUUGCAUCCGUCGUCCAUCCGUUUGUCGUCCGUCAGUUCGUCAACAAUUGAUUUUUCCUUCAUAACCACUGAUCGGAAUUUGACCAAAUCUGGGUUGACCCCCGUGGUCCUGAGGGGCAGGGCCAAAAGAGGUCAAUUUGUUUAAACAACUUCUCUGAAACUAAGCAAUGGAAAUAGCUCAUAUUUGACUGGUAGCAACCUUUUGGGGUAAGGAUUCAAAGUCACUUCAUAGAGUAGUUGUACUUUCUGACAUAAAAGCUUCAUUUGUAUGAUAGCUUAACCCCUGGCUGUCAAAGUCUUAAUUGACCAAUUCUAAUCGCUUUUUUUCCGUCGUCGUCCGUAAAAAAAAUUACAUUUUCAACUUCUCCAAAACUGCUGACUAAAAUUAAAUGAAAUUUGGCAGAAAGCUUAUAUUGCUGAAGGCCAACCCAAUUAUAUGUUCCCCACCGCCAAGGGGCCUGAGGGAUGGGGCAAAAAAGGGUCAAAUUGUCUAAAAUUUCAAAAAAUCUUCUCUACUCUGAAAUAUGAUGGAAUCAAACAUUUUCAUAGAUGGCAGGGUCUUAUGGUGCUUUACCAAAAUUGUGAAUUUCAUGACCCUGGGGUCUCAUUUUGCCGAUAGGGAGGGGUAAACUUUCCUAUGGUUUAUAUAGGGUAAUCACAUUUUUGACUAUUAUUUGUAUUAAAUUCAUUCUAACCUGGUUAACAUUAUCAGCAUGGGAUAACAGUUUGAUGGCAUGUACAUGUUGGCCCUGAUUGACCCCCAGGGACUGAAGGGCGCGUCCAAAAAGGGCCAAAUUGACUGAAAUUUCCAAAAUCUUCCAAAGACCCAUAUAAGGUAGAUUCAAAUACUGUUCAUAGCUGGAAAGGUCUUAUAGUGCUUUAUCAAAAUUAUGAAUUUCAUAAACCUAAACUUUACUAUAGUUUAUAUAGGGAAAUCACAUUUUUGACUAUUGUUUGCUUGAUUUCUUUUGGAAUUCAUUUUAACUUUCCUAACAUUAUCAGCAUCGGAUGAUAGCUUAAUGACAUGCACAAGUUGGCCAUGACACAGACCCCUUGGACUGAUGGGUGGGGCCAAAAAAGGUCAAUUAGAUUAACUGAAAUAUUUCAAAUCUCAGGUGACUGUUUAGGCCCAUGGGCCCUUCGUAAGAAUUACAACAAAACCAAUGCAUACAGAAUCUAUGUACCCAUAUGCAAUGCUUAUGAUAUACUGACAUAGCCAUAUACUUAAGCAUUAUUUUUUGUAUUAUAUCUCAUGAAACCAGGGUAAAGAUACAUGCCCUUUGGGCCUCUGGUUUUGUAGAUAUUAUUAAGUUGAUUCCAAUCAAUGUUUGUGUAUAUCAAGACUCAUUUGUAAACAUUAACAUACUAAUAUACUGGGAUUACCUAAAACCAAAUACGUGUACAUUGUUUAUGUACAAUACAAAUUUCACAGAAAAAGAAAGAAUUUUAUAACAAUAAAAUUGUCAAAAUAUU